GAUGAACGCUAGCGGCAGGCUUAACACAUGCAAGUCGAGGGGCAUCACGGGUAGCAAUACCUGGUGGCGACCGGCGCAAGGGCGCGUAACGCGUGAGCAACAUGCCCUAUACAGGGGGAUAAUCCAGGGAAACUUGGUCUAAUAUCCCAUAGCAUUUAGAGGUGGCAUCACCAUUAAAUUAAAGCUUCGGUGGUAUAGGAUUGGCUCGCGUGACAUUAGCUAGAUGGUGGGGUAACGGCUCACCAUGGCUAUGAUGUCUAGGGGUUCUGAGAGGAAGACCCCCCACACUGGGACUGAGACACGGCCCAGACUCCUACGGGAGGCAGCAGUGAGGAAUAUUGGACAAUGGAUGGAAAUCUGAUCCAGCCAUGCCGCGUGCAGGAAGACGGCCCUAUGGGUUGUAAACUGCUUUUAUAUGGGGACAAUAAGGUCUACGAGUAGACCGAUGAGAGUACCAUAUGAAUAAGCAUCGG
rnacentral:rRNA from 1 species